rnacentral:sRNA from 1 species
AGGUAAUCUGUGAAAAUGGUUCGCUAUUCACUUGACCCGGAGAACCCCACGAAAUCAUGCAAAUCAAGAGGUUCCAAUCUUCGUGUUCACUUCAAGGUAUGCGAUUCAUAGUUGUGAUCCAACAGUUCCUCAUGUUCCACUCAAAAAAGAACACUCGUGAAACUGCUCAGGCCAUCAAGGGUAUGCAUAUACGAAAAGCCACGAAGUAUCUGAAAGAUGUCACUUUACAGAAACAGUGUGUACCAUUCCGACGUUACAAUGGUGGAGUUGGCAGGUGUGCGCAGGCCAAGCAGUGGGGCUGGACACAAGGUCGGUGGCCCAAAAAGAGUGCUGAAUUUUUGCUGCACAUGCUUAAAAACGCAGAGAGUAAUGCUGAACUUAAGGGUUUAGAUGUAGAUUCUCUGGUCAUUGAGCAUAUCCAAGUGAACAAAGCACCUAAGAUGCGCCGCCGGACUUACAGAGCUCAUGGUCGGAUUAACCCAUACAUGAGCUCUCCCUGCCACAUUGAGAUGAUCCUUACGGAAAAGGAACAGAUUGUUCCUAAACCAGAAGAGGAGGUUGCCCAGAAGAAAA